rnacentral:rRNA from 7 species
AACGACUCUCGACAACGGAUAUCUCGGCUCUCGCAUCGAUGAAGAACGUAGCGAAAUGCGAUACUUGGUGUGAAUUGCAGAAUCCCGUGAACCAUCGAGUCUUUGAACGCAAGUUGCGCCCGAAGCCACUAGGCCGAGGGCACGCCUGCCUGGGUGUCACGCA